UACGAAGGGGGCUAGCGUUGCUCGGAAUGACUGGGCGUAAAGGGCGCGUAGGCGGUUCAUACAGUCAGGCGUGAAAUUCCUGGGCUUAACCUGGGGGCUGCGCUUGCGACGUAUGGGCUUGAGUGCGGAAGAGGGUCGUGGAAUUCCCAGUGUAGAGGUGAAAUUCGUAGAUAUUCGGAAGAACACCAGUGGCGAAGGCGACUACCUGGUCUGGCAUUGACGCUCAUGUGCGAAAGCGUGGGGAGCAAACAGG
rnacentral:rRNA from 1 species